UCAGAAAUUGCGAUCCUGAGCUUUUGCGGAGAAUAGGCGAUGCAACUGCUCUUGAAGUCAGGGCUACUGGGAUUCCUUACGUCUUUGCUCCUUGUAUUGCAGUUUGUAGAGACCCUAGAUGGGGUCGGUGUUAUGAGAGCUAUAGUGAAGAUCCCAAAAUUGUUCGAGAAAUGACCGACAUUAUAUUGGGGUUACAAGGAGAAAAUCCAAAUAGUUCUCUUAAGGGAGUACCCUAUGUUGCAGGAAGAAGCCGAAGAAUUAAAUC